CAGGACGAACGCUGGCGGCGCGCCUAACACAUGCAAGUCGAACGGAGAGCAUGUUUGAAUUCUUCGGAAGGAAAGAUAUGUUCUUAGUGGCGGACGGGUGAGUAACACGUGAGCAACCUGCCUUGCAGAGAGGGAUAACGAUUGGAAACGGUCGCUAAUACCGCAUAACAUAUGGACAUCGCAUGGUGGACAUAUCAAAGAUUUAUCGCUGCAAGAUGGGCUCGCGUCUGAUUAGAUAGUUGGUGAGGUAAAGGCUCACCAAGUCGACGAUCAGUAGCCGGACUGAGAGGUUGAACGGCCACAUUGGGACUGAGACACGGCCCAGACUCCUACGGGAGGCAGCAGUGGGGGAUAUUGCACAAUUACGGGGGGAAACCCUGAUGCAGCGACGCCGCGUGAGGGAAGAAGGUUUUCGGAUUGUAAACCUCUGUCUUUGGGGACGAUAAUGACGGUACCCAAAGAGGAAGCUCCGGCUAACUACGUGCCAGCCGCCGC
rnacentral:rRNA from 1 species